UGACGGGGGCCCGCACAAGCGGAGGAACAUGUGGUUUAAUUCGAUGAUACGCGAGGAACCUUACCUGGGCUUAAAUGUAGAGUGCAUAGAGUGGAAACAUUCUUUUCCUUCGGGACCCUUUACAAGGUGCUGCAUGGUUGUCGUCAGCUCGUGCCGUGAGGUGUCGGGUUAAGUCCCAUAACGAGCGCAACCCUCAUCGCCAGUUGCCAUCACAUCAUGGUGGGGACUCUGGUGAAACUGCCGGUGCAAACCGUGAGGAAGGUGAGGAUGACGUCAAAUCAGCACGGCCCUUAUGCCCAGGGCUACACACGUGUUACAAUGGUCGGUACAACGGGCAGCUACACAGCGAUGUGGUGCUAAUCCCAAAAACCGAUCUUAGUUCGGAUCGGAGUCUGCAACUCGACUCCGUGAAGCUGGAUUCGCUAGUAAUCGCACAUCAGCCAGU
rnacentral:rRNA from 1 species